rnacentral:rRNA from 1 species
AGUGAACGCUGGCGGUAGGCCUAACACAUGCAAGUCGAACGGCAGCACAGUAAGCGCUUGCUCUUACGGGUGGCGAGUGGCGGACGGGUGAGGCAUACAUCGGCAUCUUCUUUUUCGUGGGGGACAACGUAGGGCAACUUACGCUAAUACCGCAUACGACCUACGGGUGAAAGCAGGGGAUCUACGGACCUUGCGCGAUUGAAUGAGCCGAUGUCGGAUUAGCUAGUUGGCGGGGUAAAGGCCCACCAAGGCGACGAUCCGUAGCUGGUCUGAGAGGAUGAUCAGCCACACUGGAACUGAGACACGGUCCAGACUCCUACGGGAGGCAGCAGUGGGGAAUAUUGGACAAUGGGCGCAAGCCUGAUCCAGCCAUACCGCGUGGGUGAAGAAGGCCUUCGGGUUGUAAAGCCCUUUUGUUGGGAAAGAAAAGCAGCAGGUUAAUACCCCGCUGUUCUGACGGCACCCAAAGAAUAAGCACCGGCUAACUUCGUG